UACGUAGGGGGCAAGCGUUUGUCCGGAAUCAUUGGGCGUAAAGCGCACGUAGGCGGCUCUUUAAGUCGGAGGUGAAAUCCUGGAGCUCAACUCCAGAACUGCCUUCGAUACUGAAGAGCUCGAGUCCGGGAGAGGUGAGUGGAACUGCGAGUGUAGAGGUGAAAUUCGUAGAUAUUGCAAGAACACCAGUGGCGAAGGCGGCUCACUGGCCCGGUACUGACGCUGAGGUGCGAAAGCGUGGGGAGCAAACAGG
rnacentral:rRNA from 1 species